rnacentral:tRNA from 1 species
GCCGGGGUGCCCGAGUGGUUAAGGGGGUAGGCUCGAGACCUACUGCCCCUUUAAGGGGCUCGCGGGUUCGAAUCCCGCCCCCGGCG